rnacentral:lncRNA from 1 species
CAACCCAUUUAAUUAAAGUUGUGUCUCUUGCUGGCAUGAGAGCAAUGGAAGUGUCAGUUUGCUUGUCAGAGGCUCCUUUGCCUGGAGCAUAGAUCAGAGCCUGGGUGGCCGUGUGCCAGGCUUCUCUCCAGCACAGAUGGGAAGGCCAGGGGUAAUUACCCUGCCCUGGCCACUUGCCUUCCUGUGUGAAAUUAUAGAAAAGUAGGAGACAGUGUCUCCACCCGAUUCUUAUCCUUCAUCAUUUCCAGGGAAGGGAUAAAGACAAGCACACACCUCGAUCUCAUGCAGGCAGGAAGGCUGCCUGGAACCUCUCCCCUCUAAGGACAGUUUUGGAGGAGGACAAGCCUGCUGUGGAGGGUACAAGCAAAGAGAUUACCCGUCUCUGCCCUCCGCUGUGGCUUGCCAUGUCUCCUGUCUCCGAUCUCCUCUGCCCAGUCUUCAAUGGGAACACUAGACGAUCCUGGGCUGUCUGCUCACUACCAGUCAAGACUGGAACUUGAGGUUUCUGUGUCCUCACUAGGAAUCAAGAAUGGAUAAGACAAGCAUGAGCCAAUGGUAUGCACAGAAGGAGAAGAUAACUCCAAGGUACCAAGGCAGCAAUCGCCACCAGAGUCUCCUGGACCAGAGAAAGAUACUUCCCUAAGUAGAAUGAACAGAUCGG